CUCACUGGGUACCACACACACAGAAUGAGCCUAUACAUUGCCUCUGGAGUGGAGACCAGAGCAUUCAACCAGGGAUGCCAUCUCCACGUAGACCCUGAACCAUUUCCAGUGGAGUCUGAGUGACCAAGUAACCUUUGCUGGCUUUGGAGAGAUGCCCUAUAAGGUCAGGACUCUGGAGCCUUCUACAGAAUUCUCCAUCAGCUUCGUAUGGCCACAGGAAGUCAACAUUGCUGUGUACAGAUGUCCGAAAUGGCCUGGCACACAGAUUUGACUGUAAGUUGGAGACUGCUAUGUCUUUGUCUCCACAGUGCCCCUGGCUAUGAAGGGUUUCUACUGAUUUAGGGGCAGCAGGAAGGCACUCCAUGUCUGCCAGCCCCCCCCCCACCCCCCUCCGCAGAAGGAAAGGGACAUCUAUCCAGGCUUCUGUCUCUGGCAAUCAGCCCACAGAAGGGGAAGGAAUGAGCCUCCCCAGGUUUUUCUUGGCCUGUGAUCUCAUUCAAAUGGGGUCCUAAAGGCUGGUGUUACUAACACCAUUUGCAUCUGCAAAUGGCAAGAGGUAAACAGGGUUGGGUUGUUUUUCUUUUAUCUGUCACUCUGUGCCUGUUGUCCCUUCUUAGCAUCCUGGGUGGGUCCUAGAAAGGUCUAUGCCCUUUAAUAGGGAAAGGCCAUCUUCAACUCACCUUCUACCUCUACCUCUCAGAGUCAGUUGAGUGACUCUCCAAGAGGGGACUUCCUACAGGAUCAACAUCCCAUAAGCUCUGUACAGGAAGCUCUAUGCAGGGCUGGCGGCAGGUGAGCAGGUGUAAACCACCUUUGCAACCUUCUGUUCUACCCUCCCCCACCCCCCUCUCCUUCCUCCUCAUCGUCUUCCUCUGCCCUCUCCUUCCUUCCUUCCUUCUUUCCUUCCUUCCUUCCUUCCUUCCUUCCUUCCUUCCUUUCUUCCUUCCUCCCUCCCUCCUUUCCUUCCUACUUCCCUCCCUUCCUUCCCAUGUGGUAAAUGAAGGAUCACCAUUCCCUUCAGGCUUCACCCAUGGGGACAAGCUUCUUCCAGAAGACAAUAUGAGCAGCAGAGGUCCCUAGAGAGACAGCAGCCCUGAACUGGGGCAGUGACAAGGAACCUGAGAGGAAGAAUGAAGUUUCCUCUUGACUCCUGCUGCUGGCCCCUACUGUUUGUGCUGCCGCUAAGUAGCACGUGCCUGCUCUCACUCUGCCCUGCCAUACCUGUACCUGAUACUCAACGGUACUGAAGAGCACAUUGUGGGCUGGCGGCAGAGAGCUUACCGUGGUAGAAAGGACAUAAUGAACAGAGCUGUCUCCAGGACCAUGCAGUCAUUUUCUCUGACACGUUUAAUGAACUAAAACCUUACAUAAGGCGUUACCUCUUCAUGAUUCUGUUGUCUCCCAAUAGUGUGGGCUGGAGGCCACAGCAACAGUAAGCUCUUGGGAACAUUCUAAAUCCAAACUACAGUGGGACAUGAUGUUGGGCUGGCCGAGCUGGACUCCUUUUGGGGGUUGCCAUAUUUUAUUUUAUUUUAUUUUUUAUUUUGAGACAGGGUCUCUUUUUGUAGUCCUGUCUGUCCUGGAACUCGCUAUGUAAGCCAGGCUGGCCUUGAACUCAUAGAGACCCACCAGCCUCUGCCUCUGCCUCUCUGCCUCUCUGCCUCUCUGCCUCUCUGCCUCUCUGCCUCUCUGCCUCUCUGCCUCUCUGCCUCUCUGCCUCUCUGCCUCUCUGCCUCUCUGCCUCUCUCUGCCUCUCUCUGCCUCUCUGCCUCUCUGCCUCUCUCUGCCUCUUUGCUUCUCUCUGCUGCCCCUUUGCCCCUCUACCUCUGCCUCUGGCCUUUGGCCUCUGCAUCUGCCUCUGCCCUCUGCCCUCUACCCUCUGGCCUCUGCCUGCUCUGCCUCAGUUUCCUCUGCCCUCUGCCCUUUACCCUCUGGCCUCUGCCUUCUCUACCUCUGACCACUGGUCUAUGCCCUCUGGCCUCUGGCCUCUGGCUCUGCCUCUGCCUGCUCUGCCUCAGCUGCCUCUGCCCUCUGCCCUUUGCCCUCUGCCCUCUACCCUCUACCCUCUACCCUCUACCCUCUACCCUCUACCCUCUGCCCUCUGCCUUCUCUGCCUUCUCUGCCUUCUCUGCCUCUGCCCUCUGCCUUCUCUGCCUCUGCCCUCUGCCUUCUCUGCCUCUGCCUUUGCCCUCUGGCCUCUGCUCUUUGGCCUCUGGCCUCUGCCUCUGCCUCUGCCUCUGCCUCAGUGUUAGAAUUAAAGGUGUGCUCCACAUGCCCAGCCUGUCAUUUCUUUGUAUGUGCCUGCAUGGGUUUAUAUGGAAGUCAGAGGUUAGCCUCAGGUGUCAUUCUUCGUGUUCUUCCAGAGUCUCGUGAUCUACCAGAGUCUUAGGCACUUGUUUAUCACACUUUGGUUGUCACAGAUAUCUGAAAAUGGCAUUUAUAGCCAUCUCUACUGAAAGACACAGUAGCCGUUAGUUCACUGCCAGACCCUGUUACUUAGUGUGCUAAUAAAGAAACACCAGUCAUUGUGUUGAAGAUUUGUUUCACAUUUUGGAUUCUAAGUAGCAAGUUUUGAAUACAGCCCUAGGCAUUUGAUUUUGUGUGUGAAGAACCAUGAUGCCUCAGAAGACUUCCCUGCUUCACCAAUGCCGAGUCACACUCAGAAGCUCUGCUCCAGGUCUAAUUCCUGGCAUUGAGACUUUGGCCACACUGCUCUGGCUGAAGGAAAUGCUAUCUUUAGCAUUAAAGAAGGAUUUAAUGCUCCUUUUCCCUGGAACAGUCAUUGCUGACCCUCGCUGUUCAGACUUAAUCACUCACAGUCUAAUCAUCCUGGCUUGCAGAAACUGGAGUGGUCAUAUUGAGUGUGUGUGUGUAUGUGUGUGUGUGUGUGUGUGUGUGUGUGUGUGUGUGUGUAGAAGUGUUUCCACAUUCUGUGCCUAGAACUUCACCACUCAUUAGGAUAUCAUUUGAAAGACAAAAUGGGGUGUGUGCACAUGGUGCGUUUAGUGUUUGUGUGUGUGUACAUCUGUGUGUGCAAGAGAGCACUCGUGCCAGUGUUCAGAGUAGGAGGGUGUGUGCUUCCUGUCUUAGUUUGAAAUGACUGGUAAGAAUGCUUCCUUGGAUGCUCUGCAGGCUCUGGAUGAAGCAAACCUAGAGAAGAUAUAGAGACCAGGUCACGCAGGAAGAUAGAUAUGUGUUCUCUCCCAGCUGCCUGAGAUCCCAGAAGAUCUGGGAUUAUCUGUCCUGAGAUCAGGUGACUCACACAAACAGGAUGUCCUAGUGCUGGCAACCAGGGCAGGCUCUGAGAGGUUUGGCUCAGAUGGGAAGAACUUCAGAUAAGAGCUGAUUCCCUCAAGGGCCAGCAUCUCACCCCUGCUAAACCCUCCAGCCUCUCACAGUGGAACAGCUCCCUGAGCAAGGACACCAGGGUCAGGGGCUUGAGCCACUUCUGCCUCACAUGGAACUUCCUGGUUCCCACGUUUGUUCACUCCCCCUCUCAGCCUCUCCCUGCCACCAGGCCCCUCAGAACCAGAGCUUCCGCUCCUGUAGCAGACUCUGCCAGGCAGUGUCCCAGCAGGAUGCACACUCAACACACAAUCCCUGAGCGCUUCUGUAUGAAGGAGCCAGGGAGUAGAAGGGACAGUGUCACCUCCCACAGUCCCCAUGUCCCAGCAGCAGAGACUGGAUGACAGAUCCAGGAGGGUGGACUGUAGAAAAGUCUGCCGUGAAAAGCCCAGUGACCCUUGGCUUAGGGACAGGUCCAGUGUGAGGCAGACAGGGACUCUGGGAUGAGGCUCUCAGCCCCUGACUGACUUCCAGUUUCUCACUCUGGCUGUUCAUUUGUCCAGUCAAUGGGAAGCCAGUGGUGCUUUAGGACAUGAUCCUCAGUGAUCGGUCCAAGCUCAGGACAAAUGAGGAAGGCAGAACACAGAGCUGAUGUGGUAGAGGACAAACUGUCCUCAUGUAUCCCUCUGCCAGACUGGGGAGCAUUCUCUUUGCCUACGACAGUCACAUUUGUUAUUUGGGGCCUGUUCGAUGAGUAGGUAUUGAGUGAAUGAGCGAGUAGGUGAAUGAAUGAAUGAAUGAAUGAAUGAUCCUUCAAAUCUUUCCUUGUUAGCAAUAAAACUUCCUUUCCAUGUUGUGAUCUUCUAGAAAGUCAGUAAGGCCAAAACAACCUGCAGGUGGCACCGAGCUGUCUCCAGAGAAGAGUGGGAAAGAGUACACAGGCUUACCUGGUUGGGGUGGGGGUGGGGGAUGCAAAUGACUAGAGACCUCAAGGUUGGAAUCUGGAACUUUAUAGACAGACAAGAACAUAGAGAUGUUAGCUGAAGAAUUUGGAGACAGACUAGGAUGCCCUCAGAAGGAACCCCAAGAUAGUCUCUUUUGUGGGGGAUUGACUAUCAUUUAUUUGUUUGUUUGUUUGUGCAUGGGAAUUUCUCAUCUGCUCACACACGAUGGCGCGCGUGCGUGAGCACACACACACACACACACACACACACACACACAUACACACGUAUACGUAUACGUAUUUGUAUAUAUGUCCACCACAUACAUGCAGUACCAAAGACGGCCAGAAGAGAACAUAAGAUGCUCUUAGAACUGGAGAUAGAGACAGGUGUGAGCUACCAUGUAAGUGCUGGGAAUAGAACUCAGACCCUGCAGAAGAGUAGCCAGUGCUGUUUGUCACUGAGCCAUCAUCUCUCCAACCCCUACAAAUUCCUUUUGGUCUGAUACAGCUAACUUUCUUUUUCUUAUAGCUUUUUCUUAUAGACAAUGAUGACACACACCUUUAACCCCAGAACUCAGGAAGUAAGAGGCUGGUAGAUCUCUGAGUUCAAGGCCAGCCUGGUCUAUAGAGAGAGUUCCAGGACAACUUGGAUUAUACAGAGCAGCAUAACUUUAUUGUUUAAAAAUAGCAAAUAGGACAAAGCAGCUAAAAUGAUAAAAGUGGUUCAAAAGUAUUGAUAUCUUGGUAUACAUCUUUCUGGAUUUUCUCAUCUCAAUUUCUUUUCUUUCUUUCUUUUUCCCCCCCCAGUUCCCUAUAGUUCCCAACCAGAGCUAAAAUAUCUACUGCAUUUUAAGUACUUUCUUUAUAUAGACACAGUGCAAAACAGUUUGCAUGCAUUGGCUCACUAAAUUUCUAUUUUGUAGGCAUAUAGGCAUGGAAAAGUUAAGUGUAUUGUCCAAAACCACACAGCUAGUAAGUGGGAGAGUUGAACCAGAGCAAGCCAACUCUAGAGCCCACAUUCUUCUGCCAGUUUCAUGGCUCCUAAGUGGGAUAGAGAUAGCUAGCUAGAACAAUCUCAACCUGGUAGUUUGCAGCUAGUGUUUGUCAGGCAUCAGCCUUUAGCUCCAGCACAUGGAAGGCAGAGGCAGUUGGAUCUCUGAGUUUGAAGCUAACAUGGUCUACAUAAUGAGAUCCAGGCCAGCCAGGGGUACAUAGUGAGAAACUGAUACCAGGAGUGGGGUAUUGCUGUGGCAGGCUACCCUUCCUUCUCGUUGGCAGAAUGUGGACCUUGGGACUUGGGUUAGGAAAGCAGUUGAUCUCUUUGAGUGGGGCUUAUGGGGUCAUACUGGUAGUAGCAUGGCAGACAGUGGUGCUGAGAGCAACAUAGAUUAUGACAGACUGGAUCAAGGGGUUUCAGAGAAGUUAGCAUAUGACCUAGAGUCCAUUCUUCUGAGAGGUGAAGAAUGUGGCUGCUUUCUGUCCUUGUUCAAAAAAAUCUGCCUGAGGCUCAAAUUUUGGAUUAAUAGCAUUGGCAGAGGAGAUUUCAAGACAGCCUAACAUUGGCAUUGCUGCUUGGUUAGCUGCCAUGUUUAUGCAGGUCUAUGAUGAAAAUGGACAAACUAAACAAGGAAAAAUACAAUGUACGGUUUGAGAAGAAAAAGAGCACCAGGAAAUGUAAUGGAGCUAAGGCUCUGAUCUGAAAUGGAAUAAAGGGACUAAUGGCCUCAGGGCAGGACCCCAUCCAGCUAAGCAUCUAACCAGUGAAGAGGAAUUAAUGAAAAGCGUAGGACUGGGUGAAGUGGCACACGCCUUUAAUCCCAGCACUCAGGAAGUAGAGGCAGGCAGAUCUGUGAGUUUGAGGACAGCCUGGACCACAGAGAGAGUCCCAGGAUAUCCAGACUUAAACAGUGAAGGAAACCAUCAAAUACAGAAAGCUGAUGCAGAUGCCAUGUUCCAACCCCAGCAAGCAAAAGAACUUAGCAUCUUUGGCUAUGUGGUUCUGGCUUAAGAGUCAAGGAUACAAGAAAGGAGAUGUGGAAUCUCCCCUAUGGCUAACGAAAGCUACUAUGGCCAGGCAGGUAUCAGGGCUAUCCCUGCACAGAUGCCCAGAGUCCAUUGUGUGAAGCUAUGAAAGUUAAACCUGGAUUGCUUUGGAGACCCCAAGAUGUUGGAGAUGCCAGAGCUGUGGGACACCUGCCAAGGAAAGCUGCUGACAGGGAGUGGAACCAGCCCAAGAGGAAGAGAUGCAUUGCCAUCAACAAAGCAGAAAGGAGUUGGAGAUCUGAAGAGUCCUUUGACCUCAGACAUGGACGUGCAUAGUUUGGAGUUUGCCUGAUAGGUUUUAGACCUUGCUUUGUCCAGUAUUUCUUACCAUGCUCUUUUAUGGAAUGGUGAAGUAUAUUCUGUGCCAUUGUAUGUUCGAAGUUAGCAAUCUGCUUUUGCUUUUGCAGGGGGUUACAGUUAAGAGGCUGUCAUGAGUCUCCAAAGAGCCUUUCACCUUUAGACAUUUAAUCAGUGUUGAGACUGUGAUGAUUAUGGAUGGGGGCUUUUUUUUUUUUCCUUUCCUUUUUUUCGGAGCUGGGGACCGAACCCAGGGCCUUUGUGCUCCAUAGGCAAGCGCUUUACCGCUGAGCUAAAUCCCCAACCCCUGGAUGGGGGCUUUUGAAGUUAGACUAAAUGCAGUUUUGCGUCAUAAUAUGGCUGCAAGCCUAUGGGGGCCAGGAAGAGGAAUGUGGUGGUGUGAAUAUGAAAGGCCCCCAAAAGUUGACAUGGAUUAGGAGGUGUGGCCUUGUUGGGGUAGGUAUGGCUUUUGGGCUUUUGGGUUUCAAUUGCCCAGGAAUGGCCACUUCAACUCCAGAGAGGCAAGCAUAUAUUAGGCAUGUGUGUGCCGUGUUGUCUGUUAGUCUUUGGGGUUUACUAGGAGAGUAAGUUAGUGCUGGGGACACGGCUCAUCUGGCAGACUGACUACUGAGCAUAUGCAGAGCCCUGGGUUUAAUGCCUAGGACCACAUGAGUUUGGUACAGUGGCACUUGCCAGUAAUCCCAGCACUUGGGAUGUAAAAGCAAGAGGAUCAGAAGUGUAAGGUCAUGGUUGGCUACAUAGAGAGAUCAAGGCCAGCCUAAGACAAUACAUACAUGUAACUUUGUAACUUUGUCUCUAAAGACAAGAAAGGCAGAAUAAAAUAUUGCUGUGGAGCUCUUUCUGUUCUCUCCAGGUCAAGACAGACAGCCAGAUUGCAGCAUCGGUACACCUGUUCUCUGAUGCGGACCAGAGCCUGUUGGUGACUGAGCGUCAUGAGCAGCUCAGGUCUGUGCUGCUUACCUCCCUUCAGGCCCUCUACAGUGAUGCUACUAUCAGUUCUCUUACUUGGCCCAGGUUAGGGUUGGAAUUCUUUGGCCAUUCUUUCUCCGAAUGACUUAUCAUCAUCCCAUCUCUUCUUGUAAUACAGUCCAAGAUGACCACCUACCUAAUCAUUCAACGUCAAGGAUUAAGGAUUCCUAAAUUUUAACUUGAGCUUUCCAGUGCAGUAAACUAGGACUCAACACGAAUAGCCAAAAGCCACAGGACAGCAAGGAACUCAACAGAGUGGAAUCUGUGUGGCGGCCCUAGGCGAGCAUUCUGUGUCCCAUGGAUUUAACCUCUGGCGUGCCAUGUUCUGAAACAUAAUGCCUCUGGCCUCUGCCACUGCUUGCCUGUCUGGUGGGUUAAGGCAUCAGAGCUCUCGGCUCUAAUGGAAAGUCACGCCUGAGACCAGAGUUGAUGAAAAGUAGAGGACUCAGCCAGCCGCACGAGGCUUCCUACUCACCUGGACAAGGCCAUUAGCGCUCCUGUAGUUAACUGGACCGUUCCAUUGCCUGGCACACUGGUAUCCCAGAAAUACCCACCUGGGUGUGUCCCACAUGAAACAAGCCCACUCCAUGAAAACCGAGACCUGUUGAAAAGAUAAAUGAGAGGUUCCAGGGGCUAAAAAGAUCCAGAUGGGGCCCAUCCUGCUCCUGCCUCCUCCCAUCCCUCAGCCUGGAAGGCUCUGAGGACACUGUUUCCGCUGUGUUGCUCUACGUGUGGCAGGCUGAUCUCUGGGAAUCCUCCAGAACGGCUGCCCUCCUGCCUACCCCAGCACACACACUGGAUCCCAGACUCCCAGGACUGUCAGUACGGAUGUUGUCUGUCACAGGGGACCCUAAGCAACGGAGGUGAUGCCAGCAGGCUUAAUCCAACCCAGCUAGCAAUGUGAACCAGCCUUCUGACAUCCCAGCAAGGGCGAAGCCACACUCCUGUAUGCUGCAGUGCGAUGAGUUCAGCAGGAACUGAGAAUGAAUGGAAUGAACAGC